GACGAACGCUGGCGGCGUGCCUAAUACAUGCAAGUAGAACGCUGAAGGAGGAGCUUGCUUCUCUGGAUGAGUUGCGAACGGGUGAGUAACGCGUAGGUAACCUGCCUGGUAGCGGGGGAUAACUAUUGGAAACGAUAGCUAAUACCGCAUAACAGUAGAUAUCGCAUGAUAUCUACUUGAAAGGUGCAAUUGCAUCACUACCAGAUGGACCUGCGUUGUAUUAGCUAGUUGGUGAGGUAACGGCUCACCAAGGCGACGAUACAUAGCCGACCUGAGAGGGGGAACGGCCACACUGGGACUGAGACACGGCCCAGACUCCUACGGGAGGCAGCAGUAGGGAAUCUUCGGCAAUGGACGGAAGUCUGACCGAGCAACGCCGCGUGAGUGAAGAAGGUUUUCGGAUCGUAAAGCUCUGUUGUAAGAGAAGAACGAGUGUGAGAGUGGAAAGUUCACACUGUGACGGUAUCUUACCAGAAAGGGACGGCUAACUACGUG
rnacentral:rRNA from 1 species